rnacentral:lncRNA from 1 species
GUGUAAUCACAAUAAACACCCUUGGUCUGUUUUCACUUAAAAUUGCCAUGUCAGAUCCGAAAAUGCUACGUCAUACCUGAAAUUGCCACAUCAUCAUCGACAGUUAUUAUCUCAUUAAUUAUCAAAAAGGAAAGUGAACAGUUUCUUUCUCGUCACUGUUUAGAAUUGGAAAAAAAAAAAAAAAUUCUCUCUCGCGUUCGAAAGAGAAGAAACUCGCCGCCGACAAACACAGUACUCGCCGCCGACGAACACAGUACUCGCCGCCGACGAACACAAUACUCGCUGCCGACGAACCAUUACGCUUUCUCUCUUUCGCUCUAAAAACUCGCCUUGAGUCGCUGUGAAGAGAAGAAGUCGCCGUGAGUGAGUCGUC